UACGUAGGGUGCAAGCGUUAAUCGGAAUUACUGGGCGUAAAGCGCGCGUAGGCGGCUUUGCAAGUCGGGUGUGAAAUCCCCAGGCUUAACCUGGGAACUGCAUUCGAGACUGCAUUGCUAGAGUAUGGGAGAGGGAAGUGGAAUUUCCGGUGUAGCGGUGAAAUGCGUAGAUAUCGGAAGGAACAUCAGUGGCGAAGGCGGUUGCCUGGAGCUUUGCUGACGCUGAUGCGCGAAAGCGUGGGGAGCGAUCCGG
rnacentral:rRNA from 1 species